rnacentral:rRNA from 1 species
GACGAACGCUGGCGGCGUGCUUAACUCAUGCAAGUCGAACGGAAAGGCCCUGCUUUUGUGGGGUGCUCGAGUGGCGAACGGGUGAGUAACACGUGAGUAACCUGCCCUUGACUUUGGGAUAACUUCAGGAAACUGGGGCUAAUACCGGAUAGGAGCUCCUGCUGCAUGGUGGGGGUUGGAAAGUUUCGGCGGUUGGGGAUGGACUCGCGGCUUAUCAGCUUGUUGGUGGGGUAGUGGCUUACCAAGGCUUUGACGGGUAGCCGGCCUGAGAGGGUGACCGGCCACAUUGGGACUGAGAUACGGCCCAGACUCCUACGGGAGGCAGCAGUGGGGAAUAUUGCACAAUGGGCGGAAGCCUGAUGCAGCAACGCCGCGUGCGGGAUGACGGCCUUCGGGUUGUAAACCGCUUUCGCCUGAGACGAAGCGUGAGUGACGGUAAUGGGUAAAGAAGCACCGGCUAACUACGUG